CCUAUUGUUCUUCUGGAAGAAACCAAGUGGCACAGUGGAUAGGGUGCUAUAUAUGUUAUCCAUAUACAUAUGCUAUACAGAUAAGAGUCAAGAAGACAUCAGUUCAAAUCUGACCUCAGACACAAGCUGUGAAGAAACAAUAAACCAGUAUCUAAAGAUUCAGAAUAAUCUACACAUCUACAGAGCUAUAAUCAUCAUCAGAAGACACUGGUGACCUUGCAGAGGGUCAGAUCUGUCACAGUUACUCUCUGCUCCUUCAGAGUCCUGAGGCACCAGAGCAUUGG
rnacentral:lncRNA from 1 species